rnacentral:rRNA from 1 species
AGGACGAACGCUGGCGGCGCGCUUAACACAUGCAAGUCGAGCGAGAACCAGUCCUUCGGGACUGGGGACAGCGGCGAACGGGUGAGUAACACGUGGGUAAUCUGCCCUCGAUUCUGGGAUAGCCCGGGGAAACCCGGAUUAAUACCGGAUAGCCUCUCGAGCUUUCGAGCUCGUGAGAAAAGGUAGCUUCGGCCUCCGAUCGAGGAUGAGCCCGCGGCGGAUUAGCUUGUUGGUGGGGUAAUGGCCUACCAAGGCGACGAUCCGUAGCUGGUCUGAGAGGACGAUCAGCCACACUGGGACUGAGACACGGCCCAGACUCCUACGGGAGGCAGCAGUGGGAAUCUUAGCGCAAUGGGACGAAAGCCUGACGCAGCGACGCCGCGGUGGGGGAAGAACGGCCUUCGGGUUGUAAACCUC